rnacentral:rRNA from 1 species
UGCGUAGGUGGUUUCUUAAGUCAGGAGUGAAAGGCUACGGCUCAACCGUAGUAAGCUCUUGAAACUGGGAAACUUGAGUGCAGGAGAGGAAAGUGGAAUUCCUAGUGUAGCGGUGAAAUGCGUAGAUAUUAGGAGGAACACCAGUAGCGAAGGCGGCUUUCUGGACUGUAACUGACACUGAGGCACGAAAGCGUGGGGAAGCAAACA